ensembl:lncRNA
CUAUAAAGUGCCUGAAUUAUAAAAAGUAAAUAAAUACGAAAUAGCUAAAUAACCAUAAAGUGUUUAUUUUCAAUAGAACAUUAAUACAAUCCUUUCACUUAAACUAUGGCUGUAUCCGAAAUCACGUACUAUGUCUAUACGUACUGCCUCGCCGUUGAAACAGUGCGUACUAAUCAGUGUGUGUGUAUUAUGACUACAAUUCCGGAUAUACUACAUCCACCAUGUUAGCAUUGUCAUGUGACCUUCGACGUCAUCAUAAACACAAAAGUCUUAAACAAGUUAACAAUUUAUUCGGGUAUUGUUAAACAAGUCCUGUUUAACCAACGUUUAAUACAUAAAAAGAGUCGACGCGGUCUUCCGCACUAGUCCUGUUGCAUCAUGGGAUUGUUUGACUCGCAUAGGUUUCAUACUGCAAAAUCUCGCCGGAAGAAGUAUACCAUCCGGGUAUUUCUCACAUACUUAGAAUUCGGACAUAUUACCCCUCCGGCGUACUGCUUUUCGCCUACUGUGUAGUAGUUCUUGGAAUCAACUUUUAGACAAAGCGAAACUGAAAACUGGGUUUAAAAAAGCAGAAGCGGUUGGUGAUUGGUAACCACAGGAAGAGUCUGCGCCUUCAAACGGGAGAGCUAGAUGUUUAUAUUAUUGCUGUACAACCUGGAAUGCUCGACUGACAUUAUCUAAAUAAUGGCGUUUUGUAUUUGAAAAUAACAAGGAAAUUGGAAUAAAAUGCUUGAUAAACGGUCGCUUUUAUAUUUGAAAUAGUGUUGCUAGUUUGGCGACUUUGUUGCUAGAUUUGGUAACAGUACUUAGACCCUUUUAGUGAUUUUAUUAGAGAAAAUUAGUCUAGCAACCUGUUGAGCAGACUUUCCCAACUGUCCACCUGAUACUGCUCUCCAGCUCACAGCUGCUGGCUGUACGAGGUGAGUGAGGUUCGGUCCAAAGCUGCUGGACACACACAAGGACCAAUCACUGAUCAAUAUUUUCCCCCGUGACCAAUCACUUAUCACCAAUCUGUUGGCGAUAUUUACACAUAAUAAACAGGAAUACAUUGCUCUGGUAUUGGAUUUUGUUCAUAUAAUACGUAAUUUAAUUAGCUUACGUACACAGUUUUAAACUUUCUCAAUUUUUAUAGAAAAUGUCCAACUUUUUUUUUUUUUUUAACCAG